UACGGAGGGUGCAAGCGUUGUCCGGAUUUAUUGGGUUUAAAGGGUGCGUAGGCGGCCCGUUAAGUCAGUGGUGAAGGCCUCCAGCUCAACUGGAGAACUGCCAUUGAUACUGACGGGCUUGAGUACAGACGAGGUUGGCGGAAUUGAUUGUGUAGCGGUGAAAUGCAUAGAUACAAUCAAGAACACCGAUUGCGUAGGCAGCUAACUAGGCUGUAACUGACGCUGAGGCACGAAAGCGUGGGGAGCGAACAGG
rnacentral:rRNA from 1 species